rnacentral:tRNA from 1 species
GGGAGUGUGAUGGAAAUGGAAGACAUAUUUGGGUUAGGUUCAAAGUUUUAUAGGUUCAAAUCCUAUUACUCUUA